GACGUAGGGGGCCAGCGUUGUUCGGAAUUACUGGGUGUAAAGGGUUCGUAGGCGGUGUGGCAAGUCGGGAGUGAAAUCUCUGGGCUCAACUCAGAGACUGCUUCCGAAACUGCUGUGCUGGAGUGUGGGAGAGGCGCGUGGAAUUGCAGGUGUAGCGGUGAAAUGCGUAGAUAUUCGCAAGAACACCAGUGGCGAAGGCGGCUCACUGGCCCGAUACUGACGCUGAGGCACGAAAGCGUGGGGAGCAAACAGG
rnacentral:rRNA from 1 species